GAAUAAACACAGUCAAAGUGCUGAGCCUUGAACCAGUCUGCCCUGCUGGGUCUCACUUGGAGUUAACCCCACAAAGCGCUGUUCUGAUGACACUGUGCAGGGAAAACAUCAGUGUAAGAUUACAGAAUGGAGUUUUAGGCUUCCAGCUUGGAGAGGAAGAGACUGCCCAGAUGAGGAGCCAGCGCAUGAUGGUCUUCCAGAAAUGGAGGCAUACCAAAUCUCCAAAAUACUGAUGAAUUGUCUUGGACAAGCAGCGGUGUCUCAUGCAAUCGGACAUUGCCUAUCCAUUUGGGAUAGGCAUUGUGUUGCACUUGGCCAGUGUCUGGCUAUAAAGCUGUGGGGCUCCAUGGUGAGUGUGUCAUAG
rnacentral:lncRNA from 1 species